UUGCCCACGUGACUAAGAGCAAGGACCACGCAUGUCGUGAAUAGUCUCCGAGGGCAGCAGUGAACGGCCUACAAGAACAGGUUCCCGCCACGAAAUUUGUCUUCGAUUAAAUCUUGGUAAAAUUCUAAAGGGAUUCUGGAUCCGAUUUGUCAAUAUGCUUUUUGGAUUUUUAUCUCGACCCUGACCAGAAAGGUUAGCAUCUCCGUCUUCUGAAAUAGGUUACCAGCCCUACAGCCCUAUCUCAAGAAACCUGUCCUACAGAUGGAUAAAGAGCUACCAACAAGAACUGGACAUCAGAACUUAUGGUGAGGCAUCAAGAAUAACCAGUUCAAAGGAUUCACCAUUAAGAAGUUCAUUCAUUUAUCUUCUGGUAGUAUUGGAGUUAUGAAGAAGGACAUCUUAAAUGCUGAUGACCGAAUAAUGGAGAUAAACACCUGUCAUUGCAGAUGAUUUUGGGGGGCAAUGGGGCUUAAAAAAAUUAAAUACUUAAUUAAACAUGUUUUAUUGACUAAAAAGAUGUCAAAAGAUCAAUGUUUGUUUUGGACUUGCAUAUUUACACAUUUAAAGUUAUAUGUCUUUGAAGUUAUAUUAAUAAAGUUUUUGUUUUGUU